rnacentral:rRNA from 1 species
CCUACGGGAGGCAGCAGUGAGGAAUAUUGGUCAAUGGGCGCGAGCCUGAACCAGCCAAGUCGCGUGAGGGAUGACGGCCCGACGGGUUGUAAACCUCUUUUGCCGGGGAGCAACGGGCGCCACGUGUGGCGCCACUGAGAGUCCCCGGAGAAAAAGCAUCGGCUAACUCCGUGCCAGCAGCCGCGGUAAUAAGGAGGAUGCGAGCGUUAUCCGGAUGUAUUGGGUUAAAAGGGUAUGUAGGCGGAUCGUUAAGUCAGUGGUCAAAUUGAGGGGAUCAACCCCUUCCCGCCAUGUAAACUGGCGCUCUUGCGUGGAAGAGAAGUAGGCGGAAUGCGUGGUGUAGCUGUGAAAUGCAUAGAUAUCACGCAGAACCCCGAUUGCGAAGGCAGCAUGCCGGCUUCCGACUGACGCUGAAGCACGAAAGCGUGGGGAUCGAACAGGAUUAGAUACCCCGGUAGUC